rnacentral:rRNA from 1 species
AUUGAACGCUGGCGGCAGGCCUAACACAUGCAAGUCGAACGGUAACAGAAAGCAGCUUGCUGCUUUGCUGACGAGUGGCGGACGGGUGAGUAAUGUCUGGGAAACUGCCUGAUGGAGGGGGAUAACUACUGGAAACGGUAGCUAAUACCGCAUAACGUCGCAAGACCAAAGAGGGGGACCUUCGGGCCUCUUGCCAUCGGAUGUGCCCAGAUGGGAUUAGCUGGUAGGUGGGGUAACGGCUCACCUAGGCGACGAUCCCUAGCUGGUCUGAGAGGAUGACCAGCCACACUGGAACUGAGACACGGUCCAGACUCCUACGGGAGGCAGCAGUGGGGAAUAUUGCACAAUGGGCGCAAGCCUGAUGCAGCCAUGCCGCGUGUAUGAAGAAGGCCUUCGGGUUGUAAAGUACUUUCAGCGGGGAGGAAGGGAGUAAAGUUAAUACCUUUGCUCAUUGACGUUACCCGCAGAAGAAGCACCGGCUAACUCCGCG